UAAGCCAUGCAUGUCUAAGUAUAAACACUUUUAUACACGUGAAACUGCGAAUGGCUCAUUAAACCAGUUAUAGUUUCUUUGAACGUACCUUACUACUUGGAUAACCGUAGUAAUUCUAGAGCUAAUACAUGCCUACACGCCCGACUCACGAAGGGUGGUAUUUAUUAGAUAAAAAACCAACGCACUUUUGUGCUUUGUGAUGAUUCAUAAUAACUCUCGGAUCGCAUGGCCUAGAGCUGGCGACGGUUCAUUCAAAUUUCUGCCCUAUCAACUUUCGAUGGUAGAGUAGUGGUCUACCAUGGUGUCAACGGGUGACGGGGAAUUAGGGUUCGAUUCCGGAGAGGGAGCCUGAGAAACGGCUACCACAUCCAAGGAAGGCAGCAGGCGCGCAAAUUACCCAAUCCCAACACGGGGAGUAGUKACAAGC
rnacentral:rRNA from 1 species